CGUGAACGCUGGCGGCGUGCUUAAGACAUGCAAGUCGAACGGCAGUCUUCGGACUGUAGUGGCGCACGGGUGAGUAACGCGUAACUGACCUACCCCAAAGUCGCGGAUAACGAUUCGAAAGAAUCGCUAAUACGUGAUGUGCUGUCAGAUUGUGUUCUGCCAGUAAAGAUUGAUUGCUUUGGGAUGGGGUUGCGUUCCAUCAGCUAGUUGGUGGGGUAAAGGCCCACCAAGGCGACGACGGAUAGCCGGCCUGAGAGGGUGGCCGGCCACAGGGGCACCGAGACACGGGUCCCACACGUACGGGAAGCAGCAGUUAGGAAUCUUCCACAAUGGUCGAAAGCCGGAUGGAGCGACGCCGCGUGAGGGAUGAAGGUCUUCGGAUCGUAAACCUCUGAGUCAGGGACGAAAGACACUUCGGUGGGAUGACGGUACCUGAGUAAUAGCACCGGCUAACUCCGUGCCAGCCGCCGCAGUAACAC
rnacentral:rRNA from 1 species